GACGAACGCUGGCGGCGUGCCUAAUACAUGCAAGUUGAGCGCUGAAGGUUGGUACUUGUACCAACUGGAUGAGCAGCGAACGGGUGAGUAACGCGUGGGGAAUCUGCCUUUGAGCGGGGGACAACAUUUGGAAACGAAUGCUAAUACCGCAUAAAAACUUUAAACACAAGUUUUAAGUUUGAAAGAUGCAAUUGCAUCACUCAAAGAUGAUCCCGCGUUGUAUUAGCUAGUUGGUGAGGUAAAGGCUCACCAAGGCGAUGAUACAUAGCCGACCUGAGAGGGUGAUCGGCCACAUUGGGACUGGGACACGGCCCAAACUCCUACGGGAGGCAGCAGUAGGGAAUCUUCGGCAAUGGACGAAAGUCUGACCGAGCAACGCCGCGUGAGUGAAGAAGGUUUUCGGAUCGUAAAACUCUGUUGGUAGAGAAGAACGUUGGUGAGAGUGGAAAGCUCAUCAAGUGACGGUAACUACCCAGAAAGGGACGGCUAACUACGUG
rnacentral:rRNA from 1 species